rnacentral:rRNA from 1 species
CCUACGGGGUGCAGCAGUGAGGAAUAUUGGUCAAUGGUCGGGAGACUGAACCAGCCAAGCCGCGUGAGGGAGGAAGGUACAGAGUAUCGUAAACCUCUUUUGUCAGGGAACAAAGACUGGGACGCGUCCCCGGAUGAGUGUACCUGAAGAAAAAGCAUCGGCUAACUCCGUGCCAGCAGCCGCGGUAAUACGGAGGAUGCGAGCGUUAGCCGGAUUUAUGGGGUUAAAAGGGUGCGCAGGCGGUCUGUUAAGUCAGCGGUCAAAGCCCGGGGCUCAACCCCGGCCCGCCGUUGAAACUGGCAGUCUCGAGUUGGAGAGAAGUAUGCGGAAUGCGCGGUGUAGCGGUGAAAUGCAUAGAUAUCGCGCAGAACUCCGAUUGCGAAGGCAGCAUGCCGGCUCCACACUGACGCUGAGGCACGAAAGCGUGGGUAUCGAACAGGAUUAGAUACCCGAGUAGUC